rnacentral:rRNA from 2 species
GAAGAGAGCUUGCUCUCUGAUUCAGCGGCGGACGGGUGAGUAAUGCCUAGGAAUCUGCCUGGUAGUGGGGGACAACGUUUCGAAAGGAACGCUAAUACCGCAUACGUCCUACGGGAGAAAGCAGGGGACCUUCGGGCCUUGCGCUAUCAGAUGAGCCUAGGUCGGAUUAGCUAGUUGGUGAGGUAAUGGCUCACCAAGGCGACGAUCCGUAACUGGUCUGAGAGGAUGAUCAGUCACACUGGAACUGAGACACGGUCCAGACUCCUACGGGAGGCAGCAGUGGGGAAUAUUGGACAAUGGGCGAAAGCCUGAUCCAGCCAUGCCGCGUGUGUGAAGAAGGUCUUCGGAUUGUAAAGCACUUUAAGUUGGGAGGAAGGGCAUUAACCUAAUACGUUAGUGUUUUGACGUUACCGACAGAAUAAGCACCGGCUAACUCUGUGCCAGCAGCCGCGGUAAUACAGAGGGUGCAAGCGUUAAUCGGAAUUACUGGGCGUAAAGCGCGCGUAGGUGGUUUGUUAAGUUGGAUGUGAAAG